rnacentral:lncRNA from 1 species
AAAUCCAUGUACUUUGUACAUAAUUCAUAAUUUUAAAAUGGCAGGGCUGCUGCAUAAGGAGGCCUCACCCCCAUGUGGGGACAUCAGGUGUGCUGAUGAAAGAUGAUGACCUCCACAAAGAUGUCAAGACAUGUAUGGGAUAUGAAAGGGAAGCUCACAUGGGUGGACCUGAAGCUCCUGAAAGACAAUAAGCAAUGCUUACAAUUGUUUCAGAAGGAGGCUGCUCCUUCAGGCUCAUCCCAGAAUGAGAAGAGAUGCAGAGCUGCAGUGAACCAUGGGUGAGAAAUGGACUUCAGCUCUUGAACAGCAUCCAGCUGUGGCAAAAGAGAACAUUAACUGUAACUUGAAGACUGAAUCCAAGGUGAGCAUAAGAAGAAAGCUGCUGGCGUCUGUAGCAACAUGGCUAUGAAGUCCAGCCUCAUCGAAGUCCAGAUGGCCUCCGUUUCCAGGACUAUGUUUCUUUAAUACUGUCUGCCUGGAGUCUCCUCUCCCUUCAAUCCCCUUCUCACUCCUACCUUGUCUUGACAUCAAUCCUUACAUGUUUUCUGGCUCCUGACAACCUGCUUCAGAGAGUCUAGUCCUGUUUCUGGCAGUGCUGCCUGGGAUCUCUGUCCAACGCAGAAACCAACACAACAACACUUGGGAAAUUCCUAAAUUAAUAAUAAAAAA